ACAGACGCCGCCUGGCAGAGGCACAGAGAGGACAGACCUCGGGGCAGGGGUGGAGGGGCAGCAGGUCCUGUCCUGGUCCCCGGAACCCGUGACGAGGUUGAGGACUGGGAGGCGGAGAGGACUGGGUUACGAAGGAGGGAGUGUGAGGUCAGCAGUGGCUGCCCGGUGACCCAGGGAGGGGACGGGCGAGGAGCACAGCUGCCCGAGCAGUGGCCACACCCAGCUUCCGCCCAGUGGGGCCCGUGUUGGACUUUGGCGCCCAGAACCUUAAGGGAUAGGUGUGGGUUGUCCGACGCCGCCGUGAUGGUGGUGGCCUGUUACAGCAGCCGCAGGAAACGCCAGGGACGGGAGCACAGGUGUUGCACGAGGCCAGCGAGUCACUGAAGUCGUUUCAGGCAGUGGUUGAGUGCGGCUGUGCUUGCUGGAAGGUGUCCCUGUGUCUCCUUAUGCCCAGCUCAGGGCCUGCACCUGCCACAAAGAGAAGCCAAAUGGGGAAAGUUCGCUCUCAAAAGUGCUUCCUGGCCUGGUAAUUUUCCGGAGCUGACACUCCUCUCGAGGGGCCGGAAGGAUACAUAGUUCCUGCACUUCAACCAGAAAUGUUCCUGCCCGGCCGGAAGCCGCCGCCACCGGAGCAGCAGAAGCUGGAGCGUGACCCAGGGCAGCUCGGCGGAGGCCGUGGGUGGGGGCGGCGGCUGCCGGGGCUGGGGGUGCACCCCCGCUGGGGUGAACCGAACAGCGCUCCAGCCCCCAGCCCUGCCCCCACCGCUCAUACCAUGUGGGUCUCUGGACACACGCGUGGCAGCGACAAGGGACAGAGCUCUCUGGGGGAGGCUCAGCAUCCUGGCCGCAGGUGGGAGAGAGUGAAGGGUUAAGUUGUUUUCACCCUUGGAGGGGUCUGAUGGGGGGUGAGUGCCUUUUGUUGGGAAGGAUGGAUCUGCAAACAUAGGCCAGGAAUGAGGCCCCGUAGGGCUCUGGUGCAGGGCGGGACUGACAGGCUGUUCAGCAGAGCUGGGUCCAGCUUUCCGGAGGUGAAACCUGAGCCAAACCCAAGCAAAAAAGAAAGAAGUUUUAGGCUGAUCCAUGUCCCAAUUGCUCCCCCUCCCUUCAGGGCACCCAGGGGGUGGCAGUGCCCACGUGGCUUCUUCGGCCAAUGGAAAGCAUCGGGUGGGAGCCUUUGGACUCUGUGCAGGGCUCAGCCCACCCCCCGCCCCGGUGACACCUUUCAGCGCCUCCCGAUGGCGCUCAUGUGCUUGCUGGGUCCUUGGACCUGUUUGUUACGCAGCAUAACCUGCUCUUUUCUGAGUGCUACACCUCAGAACACAACAACCCCAGAAGCGCCACUAACCCAGCCCCGAUUCUGUAUUGGGAUAUUUUUAAAGGAUGCUUUUAUCCUUGUUAUCCAAAUACCAAAUGAGAGAAAUGACUAUCCAGCCGCACUCGGCUAGUUCCACCAGGAAGAGCAGAUUUCCCCAGAAUCCGGUACCCGAGAGGACACAUCAAACCAUCAUCAGGCAAGACCCAGGGGAAGCGGGGCCUCACACGUGGACUAGCUCCGGCAACAACUCUGCCAGAAACACCAAACAGGACACAAUGGCAGAAGCUCCCCAGAUGGGGCCACUGGGGGGGGUGCCCCAGCCUCUGCGCCCCUCACCUGAAAUCGAGGUAAAGGAAGUGUCCAUGCAAACACCUGCCUAGGAGCUCAGCUUUAAUUACAAGCCAUCUCCGCAGUCCCAGGCAACGGGACCCAUGGUUCUGCCCGCCCAGCCCGGCAAGGCCACUGUCCCGGGCAGCAGGAGAGCAAGUGCAGGCCAGGGGCAUUUGCGGGCCGCCAGGCCUCCAAGGAGCAUUUUCCAGUCAUCAGAGUCACCAGGAAUGGUGGUGACAUCACCGGGAAUGGUGUCAACCACCCCACCAAGCACAAUGAAA